ACGGGAGGCAGCAGUGGGGAAUAUUGCACAAUGGGCGCAAGCCUGAUGCAGCCAUGCCGCGUGUAUGAAGAAGGCCUUCGGGUUGUAAAGUACUUUCAGCGGGGAGGAAGGUGUUGUGGUUAAUAACUACAGCAAUUGACGUUACUCGCAGAAGAAGCACCGGCUAACUCCGUGCCAGCAGCCGCGGUAAUACGGAGGGUGCAAGCGUUAAUCGGAAUUACUGGGCGUAAAGCGCACGCAGGCGGUCUGUCAAGU
rnacentral:rRNA from 1 species